UGAACGCUGGCGGCGUGCCUAAUACAUGCAAGUCGAGCGAACGGACGAGAAGCUUGCUUCUCUGAUGUUAGCGGCGGACGGGUGAGUAACACGUGGAUAACCCACCUAUAAGACUGGGAUAACUUCGGGAAACCGGAGCUAAUACCGGAUGAUAUUUUGAACCGCAUGGUUCAAAAGUGAAAGACGGUCUUGCUGUCACUUAUAGAUGGAUCCGCGCUGCAUUAGCUAGUUGGUAAGGUAACGGCUUACCAAGGCAACGAUGCAUAGCCGACCUGAGAGGGUGAUCGGCCACACUGGAACUGAGACACGGUCCAGACUCCUACGGGAGGCAGCAGUAGGGAAUCUUCCGCAAUGGGCGAAAGCCUGACGGAGCAACGCCGCGUGAGUGAUGAAGGUCUUCGGAUCGUAAAACUCUGUUAUUAGGGAAGAACAUAUGUGUAAGUAACUGUGCACAUCUUGACGGUACCUAAUCAGAAAGCCACGGCUAACUACGUG
rnacentral:rRNA from 1 species